UUUCCGUAGGUGAACCUGCGGAAGGAUCAUUCGUAAUAAGUGUUUUAUGGCACUUUUUUAAAUCCAUACCCACCUUGUGUGCAAUGUCAGGGUUGAUUUUUCUCUCGAGAGGAUCAACCCCAAACAUCAACUAUAUCUCAACUCUUUGUCUGAAAAAUAUUAUGAAUAAAACAAUUCAAAAUACAACUUUCAACAACGGAUCUCUUGGCUCUC
rnacentral:misc_RNA from 1 species